rnacentral:rRNA from 1 species
GACGAACGCUGGCGGCGUGCCUAAUACAUGCAAGUCGAACGCAAUCUUUUAACAAUGAGUGCUUGCACUCAGCGUUUUAAGUGCGAGUGGCGAACGGGUGAGUAACACGUGGGCAAUCUGCCCAAAAGUGGGGGAUAACACUUGGAAACAGGUGCCAAUACCGCAUCAACCGGCUGACCGCAUGGUCGGCCGGGCAAAGACGGCGUCAGCUGUCGCUUUUGGAUGAGCCCGCGGCGUAUUAACUAGUUGGUAAGGUAACGGCUUACCAAGGUGAUGAUACGUAGCCGAACUGAGAGGUUGAUCGGCCACAUUGGGACUGAGACACGGCCCAAACUCCUACGGGAGGCAGCAGUAGGGAAUCUUCCACAAUGGACGCAAGUCUGAUGGAGCAACGCCGCGUGAGUGAAGAAGGCCUUCGGGUCGUAAAACUCUGUUGCCGGGGAAGAACAAGUGCCGUUCGAACAGGGCGGCGCCUUGACGGUACCCGGCCAGAAAGCCACGGCUAACUAC